rnacentral:lncRNA from 1 species
UGUCAAAACAGACAGGUUUCCAGAAGAGGGGUCCUCCUGCAAUGCUUGGGUGGUGUCUCUGCCCAAAGGUCUGAGCUGGCAACUUAGCGCUGAUCCAAACCAACAGAGAUGUCAGGCCUGGUUUUGUCACACAACUUACGCAAACGCUGAUUAAGAAACUAAGGAUCACAGAAAGCAAAGUAACUGCCUUGAUGAAUAGAAGCUACAAUUUGGCCCUAGGAACCUGCCCAAGCAUUAACUUUUGGCCACUAGAACACUCUUAACCCCAGUAAUGCACCAGAGAAGAAUUCUCAGAUUGGUAA